GUUACUCAGGGAUAGCCUUCCGAAAGGGAGAUUAAUACCUGAUGGUGUUCAAAUUCCGCAUGUUAUUUGAACUAAAGAUUUAUCGGUAACGGAUGGGGAUGCGUGACAUUAGGAUAGUAGGCGGGGUAACGGCUCACCUAGUCUACGAUGUCAGGGGUUCUGAGAGGAAGGUCCCCCACACUGGAACUGAGACACGGUCCAGACUCCUACGGGAGGCAGCAGUGAGGAAUAUUGGUCAAUGGUCGGAAGACUGAACCAGCCAAGUAGCGUGCAGGAUGACGGCCCUCUGGGUUGUAAACUGCUUUUAGUUGGGAAUAAAAGGGAGUACGUGUACUCUGUAUUGUAUGUACCAUCAGAAAAAGGACCGGCUAAUUCCGUG
rnacentral:rRNA from 1 species